UUAAACACAAAAGAGGAACAGGAGUGUUGUAAGGUCAUAUGCUUCUUGCAUAAGGGAUUUCAAAGGCAGCAAUUGUUUAAAGGACUUGAAGAUGACAGAAAAUAAUCUGUGUAAUCCAACAAUCAAAACCUGUAUUCAUUAGCAGAGGGAACUUUGUUGGGUGCCUCAGAAAAUGGAAAGGAUUUAGAUCUGAAUCUUGAAAGCGAUUCAGACUUUCGCCAGUUCUCCUGUCCUCAGCUGAAACACAAUGUGGAGUUUUUCUGAAAUAAUUGUGCAGCUCUGACCGUUCCUUCAAUCAGGCGUUUUCUACACGAGCAGGAGCCUUUGAAGUGCGGAGCCAUGAAGAUGGCGAGGCCAGAGGGCCAGGCACAGGCACCGGGCUCUCAGCACGGCAGCUGUGGCAGCACUCACACAAACCAAGGCCUUGCCCAACGGGGCAUUUUGUUACUUUACCCUGAGGUGAACUCCAGAGAGGUAAUUCGGGAGCAGAAGCACUCCCCAAUUGUUUGAGCAGGGCUCUGAUGUGCUAGAGGCCAUCUCCAGUCAGUUGGGUAACCCUGCUUUACGAGGGACUGGAGCUGAUUCAACUCUUGGCAUCAUUUUAAAUGUCAACCUUAAUUACAGAUUUUGAAUAGUUUUAAUUAUAUAUAUGUAUGUAUAAUUAUUAUUUUAAUAAAAGUUGACAUUGUGGUCAGUAUAUUAGCUGUGGGUUUGUAGAAGCUGUAUUCAAAAUUUUUCUCUGCUCAAACCUCGUGUGUAACCCUGGUAAGUCGUUUAAACCACCCUGCCUCAGUUUCCCAUUUGUUUAAUGGCGAUAAAAUCACU